AAUGAGGUCUAUCCCAACUAUUUCUUUAUAAUAGAUUUGUGUUGUUGGAAAUGCCUCAAAGAAUAAAUUUGUAGUGUUCGCUUUACCCAUUGGACUAUUGCUGUUAGCCCUUUGGGAUUAAUCUACAAAACAUUU